rnacentral:rRNA from 1 species
UACAGAGGGUGCGAGCGUUGUCCGGAAUCAGCUAGGGCGUAAAGGCGCGUAGGUGGCGCGAACAAGUCAGUGGUGAAAGCUCGGCGCUCAACGCCGAGUCGGCCACUGAUACUGUUGGGCUUGAGCACUGUAGAGGCUAAUGGAAUUCCGGGUGUAGCGGUGGAAUGCGUAGAGAUCCGGAAGAACACCGGUGGCGAAGGCGGGUCUCUGGGCCAUUACUGGACGCUGAGGAGCGAAAGCGUGGGGGAGCGAACAGG